UGGGGGAUAUUGCACAAUGGGGGGAACCCUGAUGCAGCGACGCCGCGUGAGUGAAGGAGCGCCUCGGCGCGUAAAGCUCUGUCGGCAGGGAAGAAAAGCUGUCCUAGGGGCCAGCCAGACGGUACCUGAGGAAGAAGCCCCGGCUAACUACGUGCCAGCAGACGCGGUAAUACGUAGGGGGCAAGCGUUAUCCGGAUUUACUGGGUGUAAAGGGAGCGUAGACGGCAAGGCAAGCCUGGAGUGAAAGGCGGGGGCCCAACCCCCGGACUGCUCUGGGAACCGCCUGGCUGGAGUGCAGGAGGGGUAAGCGGAAUUCCUAGUGUAGCGGUGAAAUGCGUAGAUAUUAGGAGGAACACCGGUGGCGAAGGCGGCUUACUGGACUGUGACUGACGUUGAGGCUCGAAAGCGUGGGGAGCGAACAGG
rnacentral:rRNA from 1 species